rnacentral:rRNA from 1 species
ACUGAAAUAUCUAAGUACCCAGAGGAAAGGACAUCAACCGAGACUCCGUUAGUAGUGACGAGCGAACGCGGACCAGGCCAGUGGCUUGAUAGAAGACAACCAGAAGCGUCUGGAAAGGCGCGCCAUAGUGGGUGAUAGCCCCGUAUGGGUAAUGCUUUCUUCAAGUCCUUGAGUAGGGCGGGACACGUGAAAUCCUGUCUGAACAUGGGGGGACCACCCUCCAAGCCUAAGUACUCCUCAACGACCGAUAGCGAACCAGUACCGUGAGGGAAAGGUGAAAAGCACCCCGAUGAGGGGAGUGAAAUAGACCUGAAACCGAAUGCCUACAAUCAGUCGGAGCCACAUUAAGUGGUGACGGCGUACCUUUUGUAUAAUGGGUCAGCGAGUUACUUUGACGAGCAAGCCUAAGCCGUUAGGCGUAAGCGAAGCGAAAGCGAGUCUGAAUAGGGCGUUUAGUUCGUUUGAGUAGACCCGAAACCGGGUGAUCUAGCCAUGGGCAGGUUGAAGGUACGGUAACACGUACUGGAGGACCGAACCCACGCAUGUUGAAAAAUGCGGGGAUGACCUGUGGCUAGGGGUGAAAGGCCAAUCAAACCCGGAGAUAGCUGGUUCUCUGCGAAAACUAUUUAGGUAGUGCGUCGUGUAUUACCGUCGGGGGUAGGGCACUGGAUGGGCUAGGGGGGCGCGAGCCUUACCAAACCUAACCAAACUCCGAAUACCGGCGAGUACAGCACGGCAGACAGACUAUGG